AUGGGGGACACGGUGCAGGGGGGGUGGAGGCAGCGCAGCCCCCCUCUGCCGUGUCCCCUGGUGGUCCCUGGGCAUCGCCCCAUCCCCAGCUGCUGCCCCCAGUGCCUGGCCGUGCCCAGGGGAGGGGCCGGAUCCUGCUCCCUGCUCUCUCAGCACCCUCCUUGCUCAGCCAGGAGCUGGGGGCACUGGGGGCAGCUCCCGAGACCACCAGCCCCGGCCCCACGGGCAGCAGCGGUGGGACAGAACCCGGCCACCAUGAGCACAACACCUUCACGUGGCAGGAGAGAGGGAGGAAGAGGAGGGAAGGGAGGGAUGAAGGCGAUGGGAUGCUGCCCAGGACCCACCGAGCAUGGGGACAGGCACCCUCCUGGGGACAGCCAGCAGCAGAAAUGGGGACAAAACCAGUGUUCCCAGCACACGCAGCCAACAGGGACUGGGAGGUACAUAGAGCGCAGCCCGCUACCUCCACCGCAGUGUGUCAGCGGGGUGGGGGCACCAAGCUGUGACCCCCGGACACCCCCCUGUGGGGUGACAGCACCGGGGACAAACUCCAGUCCCCAGGCAGGCACUGGGCAGGUCCCUGCAGCACUGGGGACUCUCCCGGUGCUUUUGGCUGGGAUUUCCUGCGGGGCCGUGGGUUCGGCGGUGUCGCAACGCUCCCCGAGCCCUGCUCCGUCCCUGCGCGCCGCCAGCUGCGUGGGACUUUGCAGAGCUCCCAGGGCGGCGCUGCCAGAUGGGGCCGUGACCCCAGCGCCCGCCCAGUACGGCUUACUGGGCAUACUGGGCAUCCUGCAGCUGGCAGCUGGCACCGGCUCAACGCAGCUCGCCUGGUUUCAGCGCUGCCUGGGGCUCUCCUGUCCCCCUGCAUCCCACCAGGAGCCCUCCAGCUGGGGCGCAAACACAGUCCUGGGUGCAAACGCAGACCUGGGUGCGAAUCCAUUGCCAGGCCAGGUACAAAUCCAGCCCCAGAUGCAAACCCGUCAUUGGACGCAAACUCCUCCCCAGGUGCAAACCCAUCCCCGGGAGCGAAUCCAUCACCGGGUGCAAAUCCAGCCCCAGUUGCAAACCCAUCCCCGGGUGCAAACCCAUUGUUGGGUGCAAAUCCAGCCCCAGAUGCAAACCCGUCCUUGGAUGCAAGCCCAAUCCUGGAUGCAAACUCAUCCCUGUGUGCAAAAUCCCUUGAUGCAAACCCAACCCUUGACGCAAACCCAGCCCUGGAUGCAAACCCAUCCUUGGGUGCAAUCCUACUCCUGGGUGCAAACCUACUCCUGGGUGCAAACCCAGCCCUGGGUGCAAACCCAGCCCCGGCUGCACAUCAGACCCAUGGGUGCUGCGCCCCACGACAUCGCCCUCACCCCGAGCCCCUGCUCCCAGCACCCUACUCCUUCCCUUCCCGUCUGCGCCACCGCAGCCCGGUGCCACCCCGUCCCCCCGGGCGGCGCUGCCGGUCCCCUUGCUGCCAGCCUCGCCCUCCGGAUACAGCAGACAGGUCUCCCCCCGCCCCCCCCCCCCGCCCCGGCUCCCUGCUCGGCGUCUGGCUGA
rnacentral:lncRNA from 1 species